AGAGUUUGAUCCUGGCUCAGAAUCAACGCUGGCGGCGUGCCUCAGACAUGCAAGUCGAACGAUUAAAGCUCUCUUCGGAGAGUGUAUAGAGUGGCGCACGGGUGAGUAACACGUAAGUAAUCUACCUUUGAGUGGGGAAUAACGUCCGGAAACGGACGCUAAUACCGCAUAAUGCAGCGGCAUCGCAAGAUGACAGUUGUUAAAGAUUUAUCGCUUGAAGAGGAGCUUGCGGCAGAUUAGCUAGUUGGUAAGGUAAUGGCUUACCAAGGCUACGAUCUGUAACCGGUCUAAGAGGACGGUCGGUCACACUGACACUGAAUAACGGGUCAGACUCCUACGGGAGGCAGCAGUCGGGAAUUUUGGGCAAUGGGCGAAAGCCUGACCCAGCAACGCCGCGUGAAGGAUGAAGUAUUUCGGUAUGUAAACUUCGAAAGAAUGGGAAGAAUAAAUGACGGUACCAUUUAUAAGGUCCGGCUAACUACGUGCCAGCAGCCGCGGUAAUACGUAGGGACCAAGCGUUGUUCGGAUUUACUGGGCGUAAAGGGCGCGUAGGCGGCCCUACAAGUCACUUGUGAAAUCUCCGGGCUUAACUCGGAAUGGCCAAGUGAAACCGUAAGGCUAGAGUGCAGAAGGGGCAAUCGGAAUUCUUGGUGUAGCGGUGAAAUGCGUAGAUAUCAAGAGGAACACCUGAGGUGAAGACGGGUUGCUGGGCUGACACUGACGCUGAGGCGCGAAAGCCAGGGGAGCAAACGGGAUUAGAUACCCCGGUAGUCCUGGCCCUAAACGAUGAAUACUUGGUG
rnacentral:rRNA from 1 species